rnacentral:lncRNA from 1 species
CCCCGCCAACCCCAAGAAGGACCUGCUGCCUCGUGGGCCCAGGGCCAGAAUCUUCCUGGGGUGACUGUCAAUCAGCCACCCUACUUUUGUGAAAUACAUUCUGCGUUUCAGACCCAGAAAAGGGGUGAACCCUCUCCAGUAAGGCCAUGCAGACAUGCCCAUGAGAGGAAGCAAGGAACCAGGGGACCAAGAAGAUAUCCUCCAGGUGUUUGGACCUGCAGAUGGAAUUUGGAGACUCAGAGCUGAGCAGUUGUCCAACCACUGCUGGUGUGUGGGAUGGGGAGCGCCCUGGGCCUUUGGGGGAGGACUUCUUGGCUUAGUGAGGCUGGGGCUGCGGGGCAGGAAGUGUAGCAGGACUACCCCACCCCCACCCCUGUGCAUUAACCGCCAAUGGCACCGCCCUCUCUUUGUGACCAGCCCAACACCACCGCCUAUGUCCAAAUAAAUACUCCUUAGAGAUUAUGCCUGGUUAGGUCAAAAACCACUGUUAAAUCAUGUCCUAAACUGUAUUCCAAAGAUGAUCAUUAGUUCUUGAGAUGUCAGUUUGUAUGCUAUGGUAAGGGGCUGUGGUCAAUUAUCGAGGUGGGUUUGGGAAAUGGUGGGUUAAAAAAGGGGGCAGAAUUUCUUUAUGACAGGAUUUUUCAGCAGCUUUAAUAUAAAAACGUGUUUUGAAUGACCGGGUUUCCCCAGUCUGACUGACAGAGGACUUCUCUCUCUUGGGUCUCCCUUUGGGUAGACCCAUCUUGGAUGACUCUUAAUUGCCCCCCUGCCCCCGCCCCCUGCCAGGACUUAUGCUUCCUCCACAGUGUGAGGCACAGAGCUGAGUGCUCAGAAGACCCUUGCAUUUUUCACUGAAUUGAACACCUUCAGAACUCAGGCAACGUAGGACGUGUGAAGCUACCAGGAAGGAGGCCAGAGUAUCUGGAACCCCCUGCAAAGAUGACCCCAUAAAGCAACCAGCGUGGUGGGGCUCCCAGAGUGCUCGAGGGGAUGUGCCCUGCCUCAGAGGGAGCAGGCCACCCAGCGCCUGGGGCUGGCAUGGUUCAGGGGAACCAAAACAGCCCAGGUGGUUGGAAGAGGAGUGUGUGUGGAUGCAAUGAUUCAAAUGCUGACAGAUGGAUGGAGGUCUCCUCUCCUGCUGGCCUGGCAGCCUCUGUAUGGAAAGCUGUGCCCAGGAGAUGGGUCCCGGCUGCUCUGGUGAGAUGGUGGAAAUAUAAGCCCAGCAGAUCUAGCGGCCGUGAGUCACAGUAAACCGCCAGUCGUCAGGUGCCCAGGAAGGAAGCCGAAGCCAGGAGACUAGCUGAGCUGAGCGAGAAGCAGGACCAUCCUGUUGUGUAAAACACAAAGAGCAGAGUGUUCAGGCCUGAGGAUCAGAUUUCCCAUAAUGGAAGCCCGAUCUGUACACUGAGCUACAGGCUGUGCUCCAAGAUGGGGGGACAAAACCCUGCCUGUCCCCAUCCAGGAGGAUGCCACCCAAGCAUGCCCAUUCCUCCCCAGGGCAUGGCCCAGGGCCCAGGGCCAGCAGGGGCCUGCCUUUUCCCCAGGGAAAACCGGGUGAGCAGCACCUCAGCCGCAGCCUCUCUGGCCUGGAGAUCCGGGCUCCGCUUUCUGUGGGUGCUCUGUGCUGGUGAACCUUCUGUCUGAGCAGUUACAGGCCUUCAGCUCUAACAUGUUGCCAGUUUAACUGGACUGGCCUGUGCCUGAGGCCCUUGUUCAAGAUCUCAGCACUAAAAAUAGAAAUGAAAGGAAGAGGCAGGCAGUCCCUCACUUCUCCAGGGCUCCAAAUGCCCUACCUGCUGGAUUACACAGAGUGAUUGGGGUUUGUUUUUUUGGGGGGCAGGGUGUUGUUUUGUUUUGUUUUUUUGGCCUGGGCAACUUUUUUGCUCACAGGUCACAGUCAAGCUUAUUAAACUUGGAUGACAGUAAACCAAUGACUAACUGGAUAAUUAAAGCCACAAGUCAGGAGGCCUGGGCGGGCCCCCUCAUCUGGAACCUCCAGCCGCUUGUUCCACAAGCGAAUGCCCCUUGCUCUCCCCACAGCAGAAAUGCUCUCGUGAACUGAAAGCCAUCUGUGGUGACCUCCACCUCCUCUCAGGUCACUUCCCCACUCAUCCAUGGCUUCUUCCCUCCCCCGACCCACCUCCUGGUCCUGUCCACUGCAAGAAAGGAGGAGCGCUAACCACAGUCCCCCCCCACCGCUGCCGCUGCUGUGACGGGGGAACACGACAAAGGUUUCCAACUAAAACCAAAGUUACUCAGAGGUGCUUCCUGCCAGGCUGACAUGCUAGAGGGCAUGGCGUGCCUCCUCGGCUCUUUCUAUUCUGCCCGGCUUCUCUUCUCGGCUUCGGGCAUUGGAGAGCCUCCCUGCUUCCUUCAAAGAGUGGACGGACGAGAACUUCAAAGCAGCAAGGCCGCAGAAGAGCUGGCUUGCUCUGCUCCGUCUGGAGCUCUCAGUGACUGUCUCACCCCCAUUUCUGAAACUAAAUGAAGAGCUGAUGAGGUUUUCAAGGUCCCCAAAGACAUUUUUUUUUUUGUCCCUCCCUCUAGCCAAGGACCCCUGGGCCUGCACAGGAAGGCCUAUAACCUCCCCUUGUUAGGGGUGCUCCUUGCGGUUUACACCCCUUCGAUGCCUCUGCCCUCUUUCUGCCUGGCCCUCUGGCUGUCCCUGCUUCCUCCCUCUUCUCUACCUGCCCUCUGUCCCUCCUGUAUCCUUGUCUUAAGAAGCAGCACCUUUUCUACUGAGGAGACAUGGGUGGAGGAGGAGUUGCAGUUGGGGCUGGAAGGGCUAUGUGGUGUUUGUACACUACUCCAGGAUAAGUUUGUGAUUAUUUUAAUUAAGAAAAUAAUUAUCGGAGUUCUCCUGCAGCUCAGCAAGUUAAGGAUUCGGCAUUGUCACUGCUGUGGUGUGGGUUGAGUCCCUGGCCUAGAAACUUCUACAUGCCACAAGUGUGGCCAAAAAAGAAAAAAAAAUUAAUGUUCCCUCCAAAUCCUUGAGGAUCUUUGAUUCCAGGAAGUUGCAGACUGUGCUAAGCCUGUGGCUCUGUACUGUUACCCUCCUUGGAAGGCUGCUGCUUUACCCGGAGAUAUAAGGACCCUGAUAUGAGAAGCAAGAGUCAUUUGGAUUUUCAGCAAGAAUCUCUUUCCACUGAAACUCCAAAACUGUAGAGGGCAGAGACUCUUUCACAUUGAACCUCAUGGUCUUGCGCUAAUGCCUGGAAAAUAACUGUUCUCAGACGUCAUGAGUCUUGUUUUAUUACUAUCAUUCCUUGGAAAAAAAAAAAAGAUUAAAGAAGUCACUCUGUUCUCAAGAUGCUAAGAUGCUGCAUAUGCAAGUGUUGAGGCCACGUGCGUGUUGAGAAAUUGCACAUAUAUCGUCUACAUCUCAUACCACCAACAACUGACAUUACCAAACCUCUUGUCUCAUCCACCAUCUUAUCAUCUGUGUCUAGCCGACUAAGACAUGGCUGAACAGACCAGCCUUCAGGAGACCUGCAGACAUUUGAGACAAAAGAAUCCAAUGGAGUUCUAAACCCAAGUGAAAAGCAUAGAGAUGAUCCUGCCGUGAAGUGCCCCAAGCCUCAGGCCUGCCCUAGUUGUCACCAAGUGCCUCCCGCCUUUGGGGCCAUUGAAGAUGAUCAGCUCAGAGGCUCAGCUGUGGCUGGACUUCCUGGCCACCCAGGCCCGGGGUGGGCGGAGGCGGAAGCACUGUGGGUGAGCUGGGUGAGGCCAGGCAGGGGAGCAUGGUGCACACCCAGCGGUGACUGCAAGGAGGUGGCUUAGGACAGGUGAAACCAUGGUGAGGACCACCCCCUCUGCAGCAGUGGCUUUCUGGUCCCCUCAUUCCCCAAACAUACUCUCCAACUAACAAAUAAUAAUUGUGCAUGCCUCUGAAGGCAGGUCCACACCUGUGUGUAUGUCUAUACCUUUGUGUAUGUCCUACCAGAUUCUUUUGUUCCUGGGGAGAAACUUAACCUACAAGCAGGAGUUCCCUGGUGGCUCAGCAGGUUAAGGAUCCGGCAUUGUCACAUACGUAGUGCAGUUUCAAUCCCUGGCCCCAGAACUUCUGUAUGCUGCCAGUGAGGGCAAAAAUUAAUUAAUUAAUAAAAAGCUACAAGC